rnacentral:lncRNA from 1 species
GGGGUGGGCAGUGGGGUGGGCAGAGCCUCCAGUCCUGCGUCUUGUGUUUGGGGAGCACGUCAGCUUCCAGGGCAGCAAACUCGCGGUGCUUCCUCUAAAUGCUUAGACUAUGGUACAAAAGAUCCAAGAAAUGCCAGUGGCAUUCGGUUCCCCUUGCUGUGUCCUCCUGGCCCUUUCCAUGAACCUUUUGUUCUGACAGGGAGGACGGCCGGUGGCCUGGGUCUCACACUCGGCCACUUGAGUUCCCCGUGGGCCUCUGCAGCCUCCUCUGUGGGCCACAUGUGUGUGGUUUGGGCAGAACGGGAGACUUCACAGGCCUCUGCUGGGAGCUCGCUUGUUUAUUUUGGAAGAAUUGUUUGUCUCUGCUGCUGACAGUGCAGCCUGAAUCCUGUUUUGUUAUUUCGCCGUCCGCGUGUUCUGUCAAAGACCAGUGGCCUUCUGCCCUCAUCUGCUGCCUGUUUUGUUAUUUCGCCGUCCGCAUAUUCUGUCAAAGACCAGUGGCCUUCUGCCCUCAUCCGCCACCUGUUUUGUUAUUUCGCCAUCCGCGUGUUCUGUCAAAGACCAGUGGCCUUCUGCCCUCAUCUGCUGACCGCCUGACUGCACUAAGCAGCAUUAGAUGACAUUUUUCCGUCACUGAAUUUUUAGGUCAAGCCAGUUCUAUCGCUGCAGAAUAGAUAACUGAACGGCAGCGUGACAGCCUUUGGGGCAGGGGGGCCGUCUCCGGAUAAGACACGUUUGUCUUUUUCCCAGGCACACAGCCUUUGCCGUUUCAGAGCCAGGGCUUUUCCUGAAGACUGCAUUUCUAU